AGAGUUUGAUCCUGGCUCAGGACGAACGCUGGCGGCGUGCUUAACACAUGCAAGUCGAACGAAAAUACCAAGCUUGCUUGGUUGAUUAGUGGCGAACGGGUGAGUAACACGUGAGUAACCUGCCCCUUACUUUCCUGGAUAACUGCUCGAAAGGGUAGCUAAUACGGGAUAUUCUGACUAGCCUGCAUGGGUUGGUUUGGAAAGGUUUUUUCUGGUAAGGGAUGGGCUCGCGGCCUAUCAGCUUGUUGGUGGGGUGAUGGCCUACCAAGGCUUUGACGGGUAGCCGGCCUGAGAGGGUGGACGGUCACACUGGGACUGAGAUACGGCCCAGACUCCUACGGGAGGCAGCAGUGGGGAAUAUUGCACAAUGGGCGCAAGCCUGAUGCAGCGACGCCGCGUGAGGGAUGAAGGCCUUCGGGUUGUAAACCUCUUUCGUCAGGGAACAAGGCACUGUCUUUUUGGUGGUGUUGAGGGUACCUGGAUAAGAAGCGCCGGCUAACUACGUGCCAGCAGCCGCGGUAAUACGUAGGGCGCAAGCGUUGUCCGGAAUUAUUGGGCGUAAAGAGCUCGUAGGCGGCUGGUCGCGUCUGUCGUGAAAACUUCCGGCUCAACCGGGGGCUUGCGGUGGGUACGGGCCGGCUAGAGUGCGGUAGGGGUAACUGGAACUCCUGGUGUAGCGGUGGAAUGCGCAGAUAUCAGGAAGAACACCGAUGGCGAAGGCAGGUUACUGGGCCGUUACUGACGCUGAGGAGCGAAAGCGUGGGGAGCGAACAGGAUUAGAUACCCUGGUAGUCCACGCUGUAAACGUUGGGCACUAGGUGUGAGGCUCCUUUCCGGGGGUUUUGCGCCGUAGCUAACGCAUUAAGUGCCCCGCCUGGGGAGUACGGCCGCAAGGCUAAAACUCAAAGGAAUUGACGGGGGCCCGCACAAGCGGCGGAGCAUGCGGAUUAAUUCGAU
rnacentral:rRNA from 1 species